rnacentral:lncRNA from 1 species
CUCCCGUUUCAAACAGUAAUCUUCAAACUCAUUUCCUUUUGUGGAGGUCACAUCCGAAGUUUUGAUUCUUAGAUCCUUUGGAGGGAGUUUUAAAGUCUUUUUCCAGUCAUCACCAGGUUUAAUAGUGGUGGUCAUACUCUGUGCUUGCUGCUGAGUGCCAUUAUUGAUUGUGUUGGUGUUUUUCAGCUGGUUCAUCUGUUGCUGUGUCUGUGUGCCCCCUCCUCCAGGGCCACCAGUGGGUUUCACAGGGCCUCUCAGCUGACCAUUUUGACUGGACAGACCCAUUAUAACAGGGUUCUCUGUUCUGGCCGUGCUCAUGCUGUUUUAAU